CCGGACCGGCGCACGGGUGAGUAACGCGUAUGCAACUUACUUAUCAGAGGGGGAUAACCCGGCGAAAGUCGGACUAAUACCGCAUGAAGCAGGGGCCCCGCAUGGGGAUAUUUGCUAAAGAUUCAUCGCUGAUAGAUAGGCAUGCGUUCCAUUAGGCAGUUGGCGGGGUAACGGCCCACCAAACCGACGAUGGAUAGGGGUUCUGAGAGGAAGGUCCCCCACAUUGGUACUGAGACACGGACCAA
rnacentral:rRNA from 1 species